UAUUUUGCUGUGAUAGUGAGGAGUAAAUGUACCAGAUAAAAGAGAUGGAUUCCCAAGGCUGAAAGGUUUCCUUAUUGUUGAGUACAUUGAAGGUAGCACUGGAGCAAGUAAGCUGAAACAUAAGUAGGCUUAAACGGGUAUGCCCGAUACAGCUUAAGUUAUAAAAUAAGGUGGUACCGCGGAAAACCUUCGCCCUUUUG
rnacentral:ncRNA from 1 species